AUAAGGAAAAAUCCAACAAUUUAUCCGUAACUCCUCCAUGUUUUUGUUUGUUCCACUUCAUUGCUCUUUUCUUUUUCGUCAAGUAACUGAAUCUAUGUUUCCUUCCUUUGCAUCUGUUGCAAAUAACACAUCUUCUGUCUCUUUUCCUCAUAAUCUCUUGGGUAACUUAUCAAUCCAUCAAAAAAAAAAAUGUAAUUAAGAGGUUAUAUUUAUAUCCUUCGAGUAUAAACAUAUUGAUACUUGAAACUGCACAACUGAGUCCAUCUGGAAGAUCAGCACCUAAAAUCCUAAAUGAGCAAAAUGAAUAGUUUCAUUUGUACUAACUGCCAGAAAACUAAAUAAAAAAUCUUCUAGUUAAGAUAACAGCUGCAUUAUUAAUCAUCCAGUUUGUGAGGUAUUUCCAUUCAUUCCAAUAAACUGAAACAGAAAAUGUGGAAAGCACCCGAAGUAGUAAACAACUAAUAGACUCAUCACACGGAGGUAGAGACACAAUUUGAUCUGUUGAAAACACAAUUCAACAAUCAGUUUAUUUAUUUCUAUGGAUACAAUACACUUCUUAAUUUUAAGAAACUUCUUCUUCCAAACAUCUCUUUGGCUUUUAUCUAAGAAUUGACAUGCCACCUCUGUUCUGUUUUUUUGGUAUAUACAAGAAAAUACAAAUAUACAAGUGUUUCCUCAUCGACAAUCUUCUUUGCAGUCUAGAACUAAAAUUGAGAAUUUCAAAAGCAAGUCAGGUAAUAGUGUAUGUUCAAUCUCUUUUGUGAUUUGGUACAUCCUUGCAUAUUUCAUAACAACUACUUGAGGUACCUUAUUUAAUUACUGCUUGACAUUAAUUGCUCGAGGUCUCCAGCCAGAAACUAUAUUUUCGAAGAGCUCGGUGUGGAGCAAAAAUAGGAUAUCCUAGAGGUCAACAACGGCUCUCGACAACUUAAGCUACAUCUCUGCUUAAAUUUGUUUCGGUUAAUGAAUCUACUUCUAGAAAGCUCUACAAAAUUGAAAUCAAACAAAUAUCAUAUAUUUGAAAGACAUGUGUUGCUAUAUCUACCGGCAUCAACAGACUUAUGCAGACAUAGGCACAUUUCAAUUAAGUAAAUUUUUUAUAACCGGAGAAAUCCCCGAGGUUCCAAACUCAGUGGAUCUUGAGCACAGCUUCUUCCCACCCACCUCCUAUCCAUCCCCCAACCCCAGCCCACCCAAAAAGAGGGUAGUGAAUUUGAAAGCACUUCUGAACCUUUUUAAUUUAUUAGAAAGCACCUUAAAUAGAAUCUUGUAAAUGCUUCCUACCGGACUAAUAGGUCUAUAGUCCUUUAUACUUGUCACACCUUCCUUCUUUGGCACAUUAGUAACAAAGGAUGCAUUAAGACUUUUCUCGUACUCCCCUGAAUUCUGAAUUCUGCAAUGGUCACCAACAGCUCACAUUUGACUAUCCUCCAACAUUGUUGGAAAAGAGCAAACGAGAAUCCAUCAGGACUUGGAGCCUUGUCACCCAGACAACUAUCCCUCACCUCUUCUUCUUCUACAGCCCUUUCCAACCACUCCCUCACCCCCUCCCCUAUUAGGUUAAAUACUAGCGCCCCCCAGAAUUUUUGUCUCCACCUGAUAACUUCCUUGAACGAAUGUUCAUAAAACCAUACAAUGGCCUCCUCCACUUCCGCCUCCCCCUCACGCGCCUAUAAAAACGAUAAAGUUUCUCUUCCUAUUUGCUAUGGCUACCCUAUGAAAGAAUUUUUUGUUAGAAUUCCCCCUCUUUCAACCACAAUGCCCUCAAAUUUUGCCUCCAACUAGUCUCUUCGGCAACCGCUAGAGCCGCAAGCUCCCUCUUUGCCUACUCAUAUCUGACCUUCUCCCUUUCUUCUAACAUCCUCAUCCCUUCCACAUGCUCAAUCUCCCCCACCUCAUUUAUUAGCUCUCUUAUUUUAAACUUUCACCCUCCCAAACACCUCUUUGUUCCAUUUACUUAUAUCUCCGUUUACAAUUUCAACUUACAGGCAAGUCGAAAAGAUGGUGUGCCAGUUUUUAUUCUUGAAAAACUUCAAACUAUAUUAAAAAUAAAUAUCACAUGACUUGAGCAACUAAAUAUGAUGGGAUCCAGUUUUAGUAGCCCAGUGAUUCAGGCAAUACAAUUUUUAGUCAUUUUAUUCUCGUGACAGGGAAAUUUCCCCAUAGAACUAAGAAGAGAUGUCUAUAGAUAUUUCAUCAUAAGCCAUACCACGGCAUUCAACAAUUUCUUUGCUAAAUUCAUACCUACGAUCAAGUCACAAUAUGUCAGAAAGUGCAAUAACAGUUAUCCUGUUACAAUAAAUAGACACAUAGAAACAUAUACAUUAAGAUGUCAAUAACCUAUAGGUCAAGAUAAAAUACCAACAUAUUCUAUUUGGAAAUACUUCGAAAAUACUCUCCACACAAUUUCUUCUUGUUCCCCUGUAUAAAAGGCAACGUGGUUAACAGAGCACCAAAUCUCAGGUAAGCUUCCUAUAGACUUCUCAACAUAACUAGAAAGCCGUAAUCUGAAAGCACUUUUAAAUAAAUUUUAGGAAUGCUAGUAAAGGCCAAAUUAGUUAUUUUCUACACCUUCAAGAUUUAUCCUACCCUUAUCUUCUAGAACUCUAUAGUGUUCCAUUGUUCUUUAGAUGUUUUUAGCUGGUACAAUAUCUUACAAAAGUAGAAAAGACAGAAUUUUUAACUACUUUGAUGUACAUUACUCGAGCUGAGGAUCUUGCUGAAAUAGCCUCUCUACCUCUACGAGGU
rnacentral:lncRNA from 1 species